GUCGUAAAAGGGGACGCGGAGGAGAAGGAAAGUCGCUCAAGCAGUGGACAGAACGGAGAAAGCGACUUCGGGUUGGUUGAAGGUUCAGCCUGAGAAAGCUCCUGAGCAUGUGCAAAAAAGAAAAGAAAAGAAGAAAAGAAAAGUAAAGAAAAGAAAAAAGGAAAAAAGGCAAGCUCCUGAGUGGGUCUCUCAGGGAGCCACCGGACAGCCGCAGAGAGAAGAAGCUGCCCAAGAAUGGAAAGGAAGAAAUAUAUCACAUCAUCUGUCUGUCCACAGGCUUUCCUUGGGGCUUAUGAAGGUAUUUUAGAAUUUUUAUAUUGGCAUUUUUCAGGGGAGAUAAAGGUGAACCCUCAAGGGCAGUCAGACAACAGUCUUGAAAGUUUGGGCUUCCUUGUUGGUACACUAACCUGACUUUAAUAGCUUUCUUAUUAGUCAAUAACCAAGGUUAAUAUCAACGACUUUGUUUUUAGAUUUGAAGCCAUCAUGUAUGAUAUCGCCAGACGUAUUGCUGUGCUUUGAGUGACCUUUUGUUAUUUUGAAUUGAGGCUACUUAUUGAUUUUUCUCUUUUUUUAGCUUACUUUAUGAUAAAUUCUUUAAUGCAUAUUUUGGUAUUUGUACUUUAUAAGUAUGAACCCAGAAAGCAAAAUUCAAGUAUCCUUAGCUAUUUCUAACAAAAUGCAUUUUAGAAAAUGAUAAGGUUUUCAGGUGGAGUCUUAGCUUUAUUUAUAUUCAUAAGCCUUUCAUCUUUAUACAUACU
rnacentral:sRNA from 1 species